GAUGAACGCUGGCGGCGUGCCUAAUACAUGCAAGUCGAGCGAACAGACGAGGAGCUUGCUCCUCUGACGUUAGCGGCGGACGGGUGAGUAACACGUGGAUAACCUACCUAUAAGACUGGGAUAACUUCGGGAAACCGGAGCUAAUACCGGAUAAUAUAUUGAACCGCAUGGUUCAUUAGUGAAAGACGGUUUUGCUGUCACUUAUAGAUGGAUCCGCGCCGCAUUAGCUAGUUGGUAAGGUAACGGCUUACCAAGGCAACGAUGCGUAGCCGACCUGAGAGGGUGAUCGGCCACACUGGAACUGAGACACGGUCCAGACUCCUACGGGAGGCAGCAGUAGGGAAUCUUCCGCAGUGGGCGAAAGCCUGACGGAGCAACGCCGCGUGAGUGAUGAAGGUCUUCGGAUCGUAAAACUCUGUUAUUAGGGAAGAACAAAUGUGUAAGUAACUAUGCACGUCUUGACGGUACCUAAUCAGAAAGCCACGGCUAACUACGU
rnacentral:rRNA from 1 species